rnacentral:lncRNA from 1 species
CCUCCUCCAGCUUCGUUACUAUCCCCGCGACACACUAGGGGAGAAUCUUCAGCUCCAGGUCCAAAAUCAAGUAAUCAUUGAAGUUGAUGAUUCAGAGAGUCAAAUGUCACAACAUGCUAAUGCUGAUGUUGAUAGUACUCUAGCUACCUCACUAGAAGAUGGGGAUCUACUCACGCAAAGCAACUCACAUCCACAAGAUGAUGGUCUUAUCAUCCAACAACAACUCAUGAAUUGUAUAAAGGAGCUUGAGAAGGAGAAUCGGAUGGUUGUUCGCAUGGUUUGUAGUCACGUGGAGAAAUACUUUAAAGCCGUGUUGUGACGUGAACCGAUGACAAAACUUUAAUCCUCCAAAAAUUAACAUACACAGAAUUGUUUCACCCUUCUAGCCUGUCCUUAAGAAAACAUACGUAGGAGUAACCGAGUAAGAAGAAAACUCACCUUCCUUCCAGACCAGUUAUCAUCCAAAUCCAACUCAAUCCUCGAGCCUUUCAGAUUCUAUUCAUGAGAUUUUGAUUUUUUCUUAGAUUUAUCAUUAGCUGAAUGUUUGUUAAGGUUUUAUGUUUUAUAGGAGAUACAUUUUAUUUAUUAAUUAAAAAAUCAAUGUGUAAAUAAAUUAAUAAUAAAUUAUAAAAUAACAAGUGGGUUAUUAAUUAAGUAAUUUUCUAGCUAUAAAUGAAAAUAACAUAAUAAUAUGACAUAUAUAUACAAUCCCGUAUAAGAAUGGGAGCAGAGUGACCUUUUCCAUUUUCAGUCUCUAACACGUGUGGGGUCUGUAUCUGGGACUCACGUGUGGGUUCUCUAACUCUAUGACUCCGUCUGUGUAAUUGUGUAAGAGUAUAAAGCUUUGAUCACAGUGAGGGUUUCUGUAGUAAAAAAUAAAAAUGGAGUCUGUUUAUUUGAGAUGGCUGAAGAAACCAAUGGUACUGAGACUUGUAUGUCUUGCUUCAUCAGUUGUUGGAGUGAUCUGUUAUGCACUCAGUUCCACUUUCAACCAUUUACUGGGAAACUGGACCUGGUGGAAGAUCCUUCUUUACAUUGUUUUCAGUUUCAUCAUUUGCCUUGCCGUCUUCUUCUCACCGAAAAGGUCCAGCACCACCUCUCUCCGGCUGGAAGCUCAUUUAGCAUAUUUGGUUCUAAUAGUCACUUCUGUUUCUUCCUUUUUGUUUGAUAACGCGGCGAAGGGUAAACCAGAUGCAUUCAGCCUUAUCUCCUGUGCUGCUUUUGCUACCAUGCCGCUUGGCUUGUCAAAUCUGACUCAACUCGGAUUUUGGGUUGAUCUACUAUACUUCUUCUCUGGAAGUCUAAUAGUACAACUCAUGAAGAUGAACUUGUGGUUAGUCAUUGUUGGAGGGGGCUUCAGUUAUUGCCUCCUUCAGCUCCAACUUCGUUACCAUCCGCACGACACACAAGACCAUAAUAAUCUUCAGCUCCAGGUCCAAAAUCAAGUAAUCAUUCAAAUUGAUGAUUUAGAGAGGCAAAUCUCACAACAAGCUAAUGCUCAUGAUGUUGAUAGUACUGUAGGUACCUCACCAGAAGAUGGGGAUCUACUCAGGCAAAGCAAUUCACAUCCACAAGAUGAUGGUCUUAUCAUGCAACAACACCUCAUGAAUUGUAUAAAGGAG